UACGUAGGGCGCAAGCGUUGUCCGGAAUUAUUGGGCGUAAAGAGCUCGUAGGCGGCUUGUCGCGUCGGACGUGAAAGCUCGGGGCUUAACCCCGGGUCUGCGUUCGAUACGGGCAGGCUAGAGGCAGGUAGGGGAGAACGGAAUUCCCGGUGUAGCGGUGAAAUGCGCAGAUAUCAAGAGGAACACCUGAGGUGAAGACGGGUUGCUGGGCUGACACUGACGCUGAGGCGCGAAAGCCAGGGGAGCAAACGGG
rnacentral:rRNA from 1 species